UCAUCAGUGAGGUUGAUCCUUACCUGUUCUUCCUUAUGGGAAAACAGACAUGAUAAACAGGGGAGGCUGAGUAUGUGAAACUUCAGCAUUGGCUGGUUCAAAGUGUCUCAAUGUAGUCAGGGCUUUGAA